GCGGGAGUAGCCCAGCCCGGUAAGGCGAUGGAUUGCUAAUCCAUUGCGACGGAAGUCGCUCAUGCGUUCAAAUCGCAUCUCCCGCG
rnacentral:tRNA from 1 species